rnacentral:rRNA from 1 species
GAUGGUGAACUAUGCCUGAAUAGGGUGAAGCCAGAGGARACUCUGGUGGAAGCUCGUAGCGGUUCUGACGUGCAAAUCGAUCGUCAAAUUUGGGUAUAGGGGCGAAAGACUAAUCGAACCAUCUAGUAGCUGGUUCCCUCCGAAGUUUCCCUCAGGAUAGCUGGAGCCCGGUGUGUGUAGUUUUAUCAGGUAAAGCGAAUGAUUAGAGGUAUUGGGGUUGAAAUGGCCUCAACCUAUUCUCAAACUUUAAAUGGGUAAGAGGCACAGCUUACUUGAGUGAAGUUGUGUUGUGUUAUAUAUAUGUGAAUACAGGGGCUCUUAGUGGGCCAUUUUUGGUAAGCAGAACUGGCGAUGCGGGAUGAACCGAACGCUGGGUUAAGGUGCCCAAGUCAACGCUCAUGAGAUCCCAGGAAAGGUGUUGGUUGAUACAGACAGCAGGACGGUGGCCAUGGAAGUUGGAAUCCGCUAAGGAGUGUGUAACAACUCACCUGCCGAAUCAACUAGCCCUGAAAAUGGAUGGCGCUCAAGCGUUGCACCUAUCCCCGGCCGCCGUGUGGAGUAGGCCAGUGCUGGUGACACGGCGUGUAGGAGGGCGCGGGGCUGUGUGUGUGUAUGCUGUGCAGGCUGGUGCGUGAGCCCAGCUGAAGCCGGCCCUGGUGCAGAUCUUGGUGGUAGUAGCAAUUAUUCAAAUGAGAACUUUGAAGGCCGAAGUGGAGAAGGGUUCCACGUGAACAGCAUUUGGACGUGGGUGAGUCGGUCCUAAGAGAUGGGCGAAAGCCUGGUUAGUAAGGGU